CCUUGGCCAGCGCCUGUUGUUUCUUGUGUUGAUUUCAGCGGUUCUGACAGAUGUGAGGUGAUACCACGUUGUAGGUUUGAUUUGCCUUUCCUCCAUGGUCUAGGACAGGUGUUUUGUAAACACGAAAACAGACUCACCAGUGGAUGAGAUUCAGCCAGAUAAAGAGAAAACAUAGAGGGAACAGACCCUGCUCAGCCAAGAGAAGAAGAGCGCCUCUAACUCAGAGCAGGAAUUGUACACAGAAACCCGCCUAGUCACAGCCCUUCCUGGUUCCAUAAAGCGUGUCUGGAUUGCCUGCUGGGCUGGAGAAAAGUCUCGGAUCCAGCCCCUCAGCUCUUUAUCUAAGCAAGCUUGGUCUUUGUUGGGAAGGGCCUCCUGCCCACACCCACUCAUGUUUAUGCACAGCCUGGGGGCUCCUACCUACCAAAUUCCAGUCCUUGGCAGUGUCUGGAGGAGACAGAGGGAAAAAGGGAAGUCCUGGUGGGUUUUGUAAGACAAAUCAGGGGGUGGGGCACCUGAGUGGUUCGGUCCCUUGAGCGUCUGACUCUUGAUUUUGGCUCAGGUUUUAAUUCCAGGGUUGUGGGAUCGAGGCCCAAGCGGGGCCCCUCACUGAGCAUGAAAGCCUGCUUGAAAGUCUCUCUCUCUCUCUCUCUCUCUCUGCUCUUCCCCUGUUUGUGCUCUCUCUCUCUCUCAGUGUAAAAAACAGAAACAAAAACAAAAAGACCCCACAACAAACAGGGGAGGAAAUCUGCCUCCUCCUUAUAGAGCCAGAGACCCACCGGGCGGACCGGACAUGGGAAGCCGGGCACCAGGAGCCCCAGGGGAUCUGACGGCACCAGCAGGGGCAGAGCUUCCCCAGCCAAGGCAGCCCGCUCCUAGGCUCAGGACUCAGAGGGCAAAAAGGCUCCAUGCGAUGAACACAGACGCGCACACACGGCGGGUGGAGGGGAAGCGUGCAAUCCUGCCCCGACAGAAACCGAAGCCCACGGCACGCCCUGUGCUGCCCAAAGCCACACGGAGGAAGGUCUCCCCCAGAGAGCGUGGAUUCCCACCGACCGGUGCGCCACGUGGAAUCACCUCUGGCAUUAAAACGCCCACUCAGCGCCAAGCAUUGGCUGAGCCCCGGACGGCCAGAAAGACCCUCAGAGAAGCCGAGGAUGACGGUGACGUGGGCCGCCAAGGGUGACAAAUUCCCACCAGCCAGCCACAAGCCGAGCAUCACAAAGACCCCCAUGGAAGAGGGUCCACCUGGCUCGUGAUGCCUGAGCCUCUCCCUCUUUGUUCGAACUCGCCUCCCCACGCGCCCCUGGCUUCACGUCUUUUCUCGCCAAGUUGCUAAGAAUCACGCGUGGCCCAGAUGCCACGGUGAUGAAGGUGAUGAGGGGGUGGGCGCUGCUCAACUCUGGGCCCCGCGGAUCCGAGCUCGGUCACUCCGGGAGAGGGGACAACAGGGUGUCCUGCCAAACUGGAGGGACAUCCUGCCUGGUGACCCAAGAGUCCCCCCCCCCCCCCCCCCCGCACUUCAGUGGGUGCCGCGUAAGGGACAUGGGACCAAAAUCUGCCCGGUCACGGGCACAUCAAGGCCAGCCUGUGGUGUGGCCGGGCCUGAAAAGACCCGCCAGGGCCUCUAAACAUGCCACUGUCUCUCUGGUGACAUGCUGGUCAACGGAAGGCAAGAGGGAAGUUACGCUCAGAAGACGUGGUUAGCCGUACCGGAUGGCACGCUGCCAGAACACGCGGCCUGGGGGUCUCGCCUCAGAGGAAGAGGUGAGUCUUCAGUGACAGCCAGAGGGGCGUCACAGCCAUUCGGACAUCGGUUAACAUCUGGUGGUGUGGACCGACUGUAUGUGUUCCUCCCAGAUUCCCGUGUGGGACCCCAAGCCCCGAGUGGUGGGCAGAGAGGUCAGGAUGGGAUCAGCGCCUUGUGAGAAGAGGCCCCGGGAGCCCGCGUCUCUCCCUGUGCUCUGUCUCUGAGCACCCAGGGAGAAGGCAGGCGUCUGCGAGACCCCACGCCUGCCGGUGCCUUGACCCUGGACUUCCAGCCUCCAGAAACAACUGUUUGAAACGCGAGGGAAAAAUGCGCGUCGUUUAAGCCGCCCAGUCCGCGGUAUUCUUGUCCCGGGGGCCCAAACUAACACACCCAAUUGUUGACAUGCACACUCAGCAGAGAGUAGAGGGUUCACAGGACUCCAGCGGCAUUUCCCCCAGCUCCGAGAACCAAGACGUGCGAGACGUCAUUUUUCCCUUUUCCGCCACUUCAGCCACCACAAAUAAACUUCCUUAGGCAGUAAAGGAAAAAAAGUAAGAAGCCCACGUGGAGCAUGUAUCCUUCUAGCUGUUUGAUUGAAAAAGCAAACAGCUUGUUAUUUCAACGACUAAAACGAAUCCAAAACGCC